UUGGCAAGUUGUCAUGACGACAGGGAUGUUCUGCUGAUGAAGUCUCGCUUAACGUUGUCCAAUCAGAUCGUGAAACUACCACCGCAGCGUGAACAGCGCAGGACGCACCUAUUCCGGUUGCACAAUUCCAAGAAAGGGCUGGCGAAAUCCGAGACCACCAACGGAAAAUUAACAGUCUAUGGGAUGUUGUCAAUGGAAUGCCAUGGUUCGACAAAACGCAAUCAGCGGGGGUCGUGGAUCCAGGGGCUGCCAGGGUACAGAGCAAGGUGGUGGCAGCCGACCGUGGGAGCCAGCUGGCGACAAGGUGGUUCAGCUGGCAGUGCUCAAAGCUCCCAAGAGGAAAAGAAAUGUUUGAAGAGGACACUUCAGGACGCUGGAGGAUGACAAAGGACAGCUGGACAAGAGGAGGCUUGACCGGCCUAUGGACUGCAGUCAUGACAAACAUCAAAUGAUGGUGACAGUCCGUCCAGUUCCGAUUUGUUCAAGAUGAAUAGUUGGCCUAGGAUCAAAGUCCGAUCCCAACCGGCCACUGUGGCCACCACAAAGGGGUGUUGGGUGCUGGCGUGGGGCCAGAUGCUGCACAUGGUCACAUAACCAGGGACAUGACAUGCAGAUGGGGCCAACAGAGCUCUUGUCGUCUCCCCUCCCACCCCCACACACGCCUGCACACAAGAGCUCAGAAGUGGGCCUUCCAAACACACCGCCAGCAUGCACAACAAGAAAGGAAGCUGAGGUAAAAGUUCUUGUCCCCAAUGACAACCAACUGCAGUUCAGCUAAACAGCCCUUGUUUACAUAAAUAUGUUUCGAGGGCCAGUAAAAAUUAAUAGAGGUGAACGUUGAGCAGGGCUGUUUGAUCAAACAAAAAUGAUCCGACCUAUAUAUUUUUAUGCAACACCCAACAGACCCAACAGACUGUUUUGCUUAAUUUUCGCAAAGAAUUAUAUAAACCAUACAAAGAACACACCAAAAAAGUUUUGUUUAACAUUUACAUUCAAAGUGUUUUUGGUAAAUAUCUAGAGCCAUAUCGCUUGGAAGGACGAAACAGGACAGGACUUAUAUUUACCACAAUGAAUGUUUAGUUAAAUUCAUUCUUUUAAAGCCACAGUUAUCUCUUUUUUGUGACAACAACAACAAAAAACACAACAUAUUUCAGAAACUUUUAAUGGUCAUUUAGGCUGGAUUUAUACCGCAGGUCCAACUGCCGAAUUAAGAUUUUCCAAACAUGCCCCUGUUACAAUGUGGUUAAGAUUUUUUUGCUUUUAUUUACAUAUGUCAGUCAUAAAAACAUCUUCUAAAUCACAGAUGUCAAAGUCAAGGCCCAGGGGCCAGC